rnacentral:rRNA from 1 species
UACGUAGGGGGCAAGCGUUGUCCGGAUUUAUUGGGCGUAAAGAGCGUGUAGGCGGUUAGGUAGGUCCGUUGUGAAAACUCGAGGCUCAACCUCGAGACGCCGAUGGAAACCAUCUAACUAGAGUCCGGAAGAGGAGAGUGGAAUUCCUGGUGUAGCGGUGAAAUGCGCAGAUAUCAGGAGGAACACCAAUGGCGAAGGCAGCUCGCUGGGACGGUACUGACGCUGAGACGCGAAAGCGUGGGGGAGCGAACAGG